rnacentral:lncRNA from 1 species
CCCAGGCUUGGUGGGAUGCUGGGUCUCAGUAAACUGGGGUCUCUGCUUCCUGUCCUCUCGUGAGAAGACUGGGGCGGCGCAGCCUCCAGCUCCAGUCUGUUUGUCCAGGGAGUGGGGAGCUGGCGCAGUUUGUCAAGCAGCGGGGGUCGGUGGUCACGCCAGCCCUCUGUGGUCAGGGCCAGUGAGUGUCAGCAGGCGGGACACUGUUUGGACAGAAAGGACCUGCCUUUCUGUCAACACUGCAGCAUUUGUCUCCUGCCGCCCCCGUGGGAGUUUGUUACCGGAAGUCUUUGGGUCUCCCAGGGCAGCGAACACUCUCAAGACGAGCCGCAGGCAGCUGCUGGGCAGGACUCCGGCGUGGUUCCAUUCUCUGGCUUGGCCAAUAAGUCCAAGUCGAGUUUGGUUCAAAGAAUAUUUCUAGUUGUCUACAGGAAAGUUGGAAAGAAAGAAUUGCUUCUGUUGUUUGAUGAGCGGCUUUUGCCAUGCAGGUGGAGGAAGGCUGUGGCCCAGGAAACAGGCUUUGGAGAGGGAGAGGGAUGACUUUCCUUCCAUGUCAGAUUAUAACCCACAUCACUGCUGAUCUCGAAAAUCAUCGGAAGACAGAUGUGGAAGGAAUGGAGCUCUGCGUCCUGCCGUUCCAAAGUCCUGAAUGAGCAGGAUCCUGGCUCCAAUAGAAGGAAAAUCAUGCAUAGCUGCUGUGAACCUGUAACCUUGCCACUUUCCCUGUUGAUUGGAGAUGUGAUCUUGGCAACAGGAAAAUCAUCUUCUCUUUUGAAAACAGUGAUUAUUUACAGGGAAAGUGUAGGUUGUUGUUUGUUGCUUAGUCGCUAAGUCAUGUCUGACUCUUUUGUGACCCCAAAGACUGUGUUCCACCAGGGUCCUCUGUCCACGGGAUUUCUCAGGCAAGAAUACUAGAGUGGGUUGUCAUCUUCUUCUCCAGGGGAUCUUCCCAGAUCAAGGAUCAAACCUGCAUUGGUUCUUUACUGCUGAGCUACCAGGGAAGUGCCUUUCAGAGUUCUAGUUCACUCUGAAUGGUUUCCUUUAUAAUUCUGUGUAUUUCAUUAAUUUAAAAACAUUAUGCCAUGAAGGUAUCCAUAGACCUUGCCAGACUGUUCUUCGAAUCCAUGCACAGAAGGUGUUGGGACCCUGUGGGAGGGGUGCACCCUUGGACUGGAGGAGGGCGGAGGCUGUGCAGGUCCUGGCAGAAGUGCCUCUGUUGCCCUCCAUACCAGCAUUUGCAGUGAGGUGGGGGGGGGGUGACCCUCAUUAGCUAUUAGGACAAAUUAUAUGCCUAUUCAUUUAUGUACAGAAUAAUGACACAAUUACAUGUGUGGAAUGUACAUGGAAUUUUGACUUAGAUGAAAUUACCUUUUGAAGCAAUUUUUUUUAAUCGCUUAAAACUGCAAAGGUGAGUUUCUUACAUUCAGUAAGGACAAGUUGAUGUAAAUAGAUAGAAAGACAAGGUUUAGCAGACAAUAUAGCUUAAAAGUUCUUUUUUGGGGGGACUGGUUUUUUGAGGUAGUGAAGCAUGUAGUAAUUCGUGAUAUAACCCCUUUUGGAGUAGGUUGACACUGAUGUUCAAUUGAACUUUGAUGAAUAAUUCAUUUCACAUGCCCAAGUGCAGAUAUAUGAGGCAUUUGAAUCACAGUAGAAUUCACUACCAUGUAUAAAAUAGAUAGGUAGUGGGAAGUUGCUGCAUAGCACAGGGAACUCAGUUGGGUGCUCUGUGAUGACCUAGAUGGGUGGGAUGGGGGUGUGUGGCAGGGAGGUUCAAGAGGGAGGGGAUAUAGGUAUACAUAUAAUUGAUUCACAUUGUUGUACAGAAGAAAAUAACACAACAUUGUAAAGCAAUUAUACUCCAGUUGAAAAACUAAAUUCCUGUACCCAAAGGGGGAAAAAAAAAGAAAUAGAUGAUUAUACUUAACUUCCGUAAUCAGAAUCCAAAGUACCACAACACCAGAAACUUUAACACAAUCGGCAAGAGCAGAAGCAAUUGUAUCUGCUUCACUGGCUGAAGCAAAGUCAUUAAAAAAAGUUUAACAACAAUUUCAUUUCUUGUUAGUUUCUUAUUUUCUCUUAGUUCUUUUGUGUGAUUUUCUAAGCCAGACAGUUUCUUAGGAAGGCAUAUCACGCAGGUAAGGAUUCCAUAGAUUGUGUGUGUCUGAUAGGCAGUCCCACCACCAGCAAGCAUGGGAACUGCUGUGUGUCAGCUGCUCCAUCUGGCCUGGGGAGAUGUGCACGCAGGCUCAGAGUCGUCUGUCUUUCUUUUGCUUCUGGAGAUGGUCCUGUCAUUGGUGAUCUUCUCAGACAACCUAGGACAAUAAUCAGGCCCAUAUUCCCUGGCCAAGAUUCCAUGUGUG